rnacentral:sRNA from 1 species
GGAUGUGAGGGUGAUCUAGCUGUGACAUCUGUCACCCCACUGAUCGCCAGGAUUGAUUCGGCUGAUCUGGCUGGCUAGGCGGGGUGUCCCCUUCCUCCCUUACCAUUCCAUGUGCAUCGCUCCCGAAGCUGCGUGCUCAGUCAAAGAGGAAAGAGGACAACCUUCCCCGAUAGAGGAGAAGACUGUUUUUCGGUCAAGGAUAUAUGAGUAGCUGCGCCCCCCUGCAAGCUCUCAAGACCUAAGAGAGGCUACCCAGAGUAUUUCCUGAAAUU